rnacentral:rRNA from 1 species
GGGUCAGUAGGUUGGGCGUGCCACCGGUACGUACUGGUCUCACUGAUUCCUCCUUCCUGAAGAACCGUAAUGCCAUUAAUUUGGUGUUGCGGGGAAACAGGACUGUUACUUUGAAAAAUUAGAGUGUUUAAAGCAAGCUAACGCUUGAAUACAUUAGCAUGGAAUAAUGAAAUAGGACGAUCGAUCCUAUUUUGUUGGUUUCUAGGAUUGACGUA